AGAUGUGAGGGUCAUCCAGCUGCGACGUCUAUUAUCCUACUGAUCGCUAGGGAUAAUUCAGCUGAUGUAGCUGGCUAGACGGGUGUCCCCUUCCUCCCUUAUCGCUCCAUGCGCGUCCUUCCGGAAGCUACGCGCGCGCUCGGUCGAUCACCCGGAUGGAAGAGGAAGCGUUUCCUUAGUUAAGGGUACACCAGUAGCUGUGCUCCCCAGCUGAAACCUCCAAACAAGCCCUCAAGUUACUGGAAAGGAUAGAGAGCCGUUAGGUCAGUCCCCCCCCUUCUAAUUUUAGUAUUGGGGGG
ensembl:misc_RNA 7SK 7SK RNA